rnacentral:miRNA from 1 species
GUGGCUUCUUUGGAACAUGGCG